rnacentral:rRNA from 1 species
UACGUAGGGUGCGAGCGUUGUCCGGAAUUAUUGGGCGUAAAGGGUGCGCAGGCGGUCCUGCAAGUCAGGCGUGAAAUCCCCGGGCUUAACCUGGGAAUGGCACUUGAAACUACGGGACUGGAGUAUGGCAGAGGGAGGUGGAAUUCCACGUGUAGCGGUGAAAUGCGUAGAGAUGUGGAGGAACACCGAUGGCGAAGGCAGCCUCCUGGGCCAAUACUGACGCUCAUGCACGAAAGCGUGGGGAGCAAACAGG